rnacentral:rRNA from 1 species
AUUGUACGCUGGCGGCAUGCUUUACACAUGCAAGUCGAACGGUAACAGGCCGCAAGGUGCUGACGGGUGGCGAACGGGUGAGUAAUGCAUCGGAACGUGCCCAGUCGUGGGGGAUAACGCAGCGAAAGCUGUGCUAAUACCGCAUACGAUCUAUGGAUGAAAGCGGGGGACCGUAAGGCCUCGCGCGAUUGGAGCGGCCGAUGUCAGAUUAGGUAGUUGGUGGGGUAAAGGCUCACCAAGCCGACGAUCUGUAGCUGGUCUGAGAGGACGACCGGCCACACUGGGACUGAGACACGGCCCAGACUCCUACGGGAGGCAGCAGUGGGGAAUUUUGGACAAUGGGCGCAAGCCUGAUCCAGCAAUGCCGCGUGCAGGAAGAAGGCCUUCGGGUUGUAAACUGCUUUUGUACGGAACGAAAAGGCUCUGGUUAAUACCUGGGGCUCAUGACGGUACCGUAAGAAUAAGCACCGGCUAACUACGUGCCAGCCGCCGCAGUAA